rnacentral:lncRNA from 1 species
UGUGUGAGGAGUUUGUUCUUCCAUGUAUUAGGUUUUUAGAAAUAGUUGACCAUGACUUCUAUUUUCCAUUUAAUCUGCCUGUGCCUAUACUAGUAACUCUUGUCAGACAUGUUUUCCAUAGAAUGUUCUUUGGGCUUUGUUCAUAUUUAUUUAAACACACACACACACACACACACACACACACACACACACACACACACACACAUUUUGCUAUUGAAAUGUUUUGUUGCUUUUGAAUAGAAAACCCCAGUUAAAAGAAACAUUCUAACUUUGUAUGUCUGUGUGUGUGUGUGUGUGUGUAGACACAUACAUGUGCACAUCUAUACUUUGUGUGUGUAGAGGGUAGAGGUGUCUCAUCCACAGCAACUCUACCCACCUCUUUUGAAACAGGGUCUCUCACUGGCCUGGAGCUCACAAUUGAACUAGCCAGGAAGCCCUGAGUGCUGGGAUCACAAGCAUACACCACCACACUCUGGCAUUGUAAAGUCAGUUUCUGGGAAUUGAAAUCAGGUCCUCAGGAUUGCAAGGCAAACACUUUAUCAAAGGAGCUAACUCCCAGCCCCCAGUGUUUCUGAUUUUAAAGUUCUUAUCACAGGACUGGCUAGUUGCUGCCAGAUGCUUUAAGAGCCUCUGGUAACACUGAAGGCAACUUGUCAUAGAAUGACACUACAUGAGAGCAAUGUGUCAAAGUCCAUCCAUCUACUUCCUCAUGACUGAUGCUCCUUGGGCCAGCAUCAGCCCAUCUCCCAUUCAGCCAGUCUGUCCUCCAACAGCCUACUCUACGGCACACUAACUGCUGAGGUGGACACAUGCAGCGUCUUACCUGGCUCGUUCCCAAAGCCUACUUCCUGUCAUUCAGCAGUCAUAUUUCAAAACAAAUUAACUCUUUUUUUUUUUUUGGUAGGGAUAAAAAGCAGGGACUGGUGAGAUGGCUCAGCGGGUAAGAGCACUGACUGCUCUUCCAAAGGCCCUGAGUUCAAAUCUCAGCAACCACAUGGUGGCUCACAACCAUCUGUAGUGAGAUAUGAUGCCCUCUUCUGGUGUGUUUGAAGACAGCUACAGUGUACUUACAUAUAAUAAUAAAUAAAAUCUUUAAAAAAAAAAACAAACAAAAAAGCAGCUGCCUGGUGGCCCACUUUCAUGGAUUCCUCUUCUAAUUCAUUGGUUCUCAACCUUCCUAAGGCCUCAAAUCAGGAUUGAGGACAGAGGUGAGAAGGGAGCCUCAGACUCAGAGGUCAGGCUAUAAUAACUUAUUUAUUCACAAAUAGUAAUAAAUAGCGAGGUGGAAUUGCAUUUAUUCACACCACACACACACACACACACACACACACACACACACACACACACACACACACACACUUCACUAACUUCCGGUCUGGCCCUAUAUAGUAGUCUGGCUUGAUAGCAGUGCAUCAGGUAAGGAUUGCGAAGUCUCCGGUCCAUGGUGCGAGCUCCUCUAGUUCGACAGUGGACAUUUGGGUCGAUGGACUGGAUGUCUCUCUCUCAGCACGAUGGCGUCUCUGUGGGACUCCGGAAGUGAGUGAGUUGCAGUGGCCAGACCCGGGUAUUUAAGCUACUUUUAGCCAAUCAUAAUUAAGGUGUUCACACAUUCCUUCACCAGGCAUUGACCUUACUUCAUCAUUAUCAGAUUCGCACACACUCUAGGCUUGGUUUCCAUGGUUACAUUCAUCCAUGGUAUGAUGUUUACAUCGUGUUCCUUGCAGCUGCAACCCUUUAAUACAGCUCCUCAUGUUGUGGUGACCCCCAACCAUAAAAUUAUCUUUCUCGCUACUUCAUAACUCUAAUCUUCUACUGUUAUAUCUGAUACACAGAAUAUCUGAUAUGUGACCCCUCUGAAAAGGUCCUUUGCUCCCUGAAGAGGGUCUGAACCCCCAGGUUGAGAACCUCUCUACAGAGAAAUACAUCUUUCGCUGGGUUUGUCUAAGACUGUGUUUUGUGAGACCAUCCUACGUUUUUCACAACCCUCUGGAGCAUGUUGUACCAUUAACCACCUGCAUUUACCGAACACAAGAUGCCGCAUGCUUCCUGAAACUCACACCAUGCAGGGAGGCCUGUCCUUGGACUCAUGCUGGUGUUCCCUGUACCAUCUGCCUCUUCUAGCUCUUAUUUGGAGUUGCAUGUUGGGCAGUGGACUGUGCCAGGAAACGUGGUAUGGUUGAGUGGGUUGGAAGCCCUGGAACUUCAUACCAGAGGAUGGCAGGAGUUUCACUUGCUUCCGACCAGGACCCUGUCACAUGACCACAGCAUGCCAUGGAAAGGAUCAUGACAAUCACAUAGGAGCUGUGCCCCAAGUCCCUUUACAUGCAGAUGAGGCAUCCCUAACAUCAUAGACCAAGCAAAUAGAAAGCAUCUGCUGCCAGACUCCAACCCACCCCAAAAACAUAUAUGAGACCCUAUCCAGAAGAAUGGAUAUCCAGAAGAAUGGUGUGAGAGUUACUCCAUCACUGAGAGCUUCUGUCACAGAAGAGCUGUAACACUUCCUGGGAAAGAGGGUUCUCUCCUGAAGGCUGCUAGAAGCUGCCUGGACCCACCUCAGUCACUUGCCAUCAGGUGGCCCAGACCUUGGUGGUUCAGUCCCAGCAGUGGGAGCAGUGGUGGUGGUUGCCCUUCCCUCUCCCUGCUUGUGUGGCCAGCCUGCCUGCUGUGUAGCAAUGUCUUGCUGUAGCAGCUGCCACAGAUGAGAACCUCGAUCCAACUCCCUUCUUCCCUUUGCUUAAAUGCUACCAAUGGCCAGAGCCCCCACAGAUCUCCAAGGCUAGUGUCCGGUAUACAGACAGGCAGUUGCAGGGUGAAACCCACAGCUAUUUUGC